CUGCCAUUGAAGCAUUCCUGUGG
rnacentral:piRNA from 1 species